rnacentral:rRNA from 1 species
GACGAACGCUGGCGGCGUGCCUAAUACAUGCAAGUAGAACGCUGAAGAGAGGAGCUUGCUCUUCUUGGAUGAGUUGCGAACGGGUGAGUAACGCGUAGGUAACCUGCCUUGUAGCGGGGGAUAACUAUUGGAAACGAUAGCUAAUACCGCAUAACAAUGGAUGACACAUGUCAUUUAUUUGAAAGGGGCAAUUGCUCCACUACAAGAUGGACCUGCGUUGUAUUAGCUAGUAGGUGAGGUAAUGGCUCACCUAGGCGACGAUACAUAGCCGACCUGAGAGGGUGAUCGGCCACCCUGGGACUGAGACACGGCCCAGACUCCUACGGGAGGCAGCAGUAGGGAAUCUUCGGCAAUGGGGGCAACCCUGACCGAGCAACGCCGCGUGAGUGAAGAAGGUUUUCGGAUCGUAAAGCUCUGUUGUAAGUCAAGAACGGGUGUGAGAGUGGAAAGUUCACACUGUGACGGUAGCUUACCAGAAAGGGACGGCUAACUACGUG